rnacentral:misc_RNA from 1 species
GAUGAAGAACGUAGCGAAAUGCGAAAAGUAAUGUGAAUUGCAGAAUUCAGUGAAUCAUCGAAUCUUUGAACGCACAUUGCGCCCGCCAGUAUUCUGGCGGGCAUGCCUGUCUGAGCGUCAUUUCAACCCUCACGCCCCUAGGGCGUGGUGUUGGGGAUCGGCCAGCGCCCUCGCGGGCGAGGCCGUCCCCUAAAUCUAGUGGCGGACCCGUCGUGGCCUCCCCUGCGAAGUAGUGAUAUUCCGCAUAGGAGAGCGACGAGCCCCUGCCGUUAAACCCCCAACUUUCUCAGGUUGACCUCAGAUCAGGUAGGAAUACCCGCUGAACUUAAGCAUAUCAAUAAGCGGUGGA